GUUUCCGUAGGUGAACCUGCGGAAGGAUCAUUACCGAGUUGAUUCGAGCUCCGGCUCGACUCUCCCACCCUAUGUGUACCUACCUCUGUUGCUUUGGCGGGCCGCGGUCCUCCGCACCGGCCCCCCUUCGGGGGCUGGCCAGCGCCCGCCAGAGGACCACAAAACUCCAGUCAGUGAACGUCGCAGUCUGAAAAACAAGUUAAUAAACUAAAACUUUCAACAACGGAUCUCUUGGUUCUGGCAUCGAUGAAGAACGCAGCGAAAUGCGAUAAGUAAUGUGAAUUGCAGAAUUCAGUGAAUCAUCGAAUCUUUGAACGCACAUUGCGCCCCUUGGUAUUCCGAGGGGCAUGCCUGUUCGAGCGUCAUUUCAACCCUCAAGCUCUGCUUGGUAUUGGGCUCCGUCCUCCACGGACGCGCCUCAAAGACCUCGGCGGUGGCGUCUUGCCUCAAGCGUAGUAGAAAACACCUCGCUUUGGAGCGCACGGCGUCGCCCGCCGGACGAACCUUUGAAUUUUUCUCAAGGUUGACCUCGGAUCAGGUAGGGAUACCCGCUGAACUUAA
rnacentral:rRNA from 1 species